rnacentral:rRNA from 1 species
GUUGAGGAAGAUAAUGACGGUACUCAACAAGGAAGUGACGGCUAACUACGUGCCAGCAGCCGCGGUAAAACGUAGGUCACAAGCGUUGUCCGGAAUUACUGGGUGUAAAGGGAGCGCAGGCGGGAGAACAAGUUGGAAGUGAAAUCCAUGGGCUCAACCCAUGAACUGCUUUCAAAACUGUUUUUCUUGAGUAGUGCAGAGGUAGGCGGAAUUCCCGGUGUAGCGGUGGAAUGCGUAGAUAUCGGGAGGAACACCAGUGGCGAAGGCGGCCUACUGGGCACCAACUGACGCUGAGGCUCGAAAGUGUGGGUAGCAAACAGGAUUAGAUACCCUGGUAGUCCACACCGUAAACGAUGAUUACUAGGUGUUGGAGGAUUGACCCCUUCAGUGCCGCAGUUAACACAAUAAGUAAUCCACCUGGGGAGUACGACCGCAAGGUUGAAACUCAAAGGAAUUGACGGGGGCCCGCACAAGCAGUGGAGUAUGUGGUUUAAUUCGACGCAACGCGAAGAACCUUACCAAGUCUUGACAUCCCUUGACGAUGCUGGAAACAGCAUUUCUCUUCGGAGCAAGGAGACAGGUGGUGCAUGGUUGUCGUCAGCUCGUGUCGUGAGAUGUUGGGUUAAGUCCCGCAACGAGCGCAACCCUUAUGGUCAGUUACUACGCAAGAGGACUCUGGCCGGACUG